rnacentral:rRNA from 1 species
GAUGAACGCUAGCGGGAGGCCUAACACAUGCAAGCCGAGCGGGAUUUGUUGGUUAGCUUGCUAACUAACAAUGAGAGCGGCGUACGGGUGCGUAGCACGUGUGCAACCUGCCUUUAUCUGGGGGAUAGCCUUUCGAAAGGAAGAUUAAUACCCCAUAACAUAUUGAUUGGCAUCAGUUAAUAUUGAAAGCUCCGGCGGAUAGAGAUGGGCACGCGUAAGAUUAGCUAGUUGGUGAGGUAACGGCUCACCAAGGCUGCGAUCUUUAGGGGGCCUGAGAGGGUGAUACCCCACACGGGAACUGGGACACGGACCAGACGCCUACGGGAGGCAGCAGUGAGGAAUAUUGGACAAUGGGUGAGAGCCUGAUCCAGCCAUCCCGCGUGAAGGACUAAGGACCUAUGGUUUGUAAACUUCUUUUAUACAGGGAUAAACCUACUCUCGUGAGGGUAGCUGAAGGUACUGUAUGAAUAAGCACCGGCUAACUCCGUG